AAACAAAGGCAAGGUUGCUAAGUGAAGCACACUGCCGAGCAACGGGACGGGGGGCUGCUUUUCUGCAGUACAGUAGGGGACAGGAAGUGCUUCUCUGUCCCUUCAUCUGGCCCACCCCGGGAGUGGACACAACGUGGUGCUCCCUUUCCCAGGGCAGGAAAGACACCUCCUCCCGCCCAGGGACAGGCUCUCCUGCUGGUCUCCCAGGGAACACUGGUCACAGCCUCAGCUGAAGACGAGAGGUGAAGGCCUCUCAGCAGCAGGUUAUGACUGGGAAAAAAAUGUUACCACCUCUGCCAAGAGCUGGAGUGCAAUUCAACCUCAAACAAUGACCCGGAGGAUCAUCACACGUGCAAUUACCAAUGCAAGUGUUCACGCUGGCUCUGCAGAGAGUCAUUCACAGAUCCGAGGGCACCAACACCGGGCACUUGGAGCAUGACUACCUGAGAUUAUUCAGGAUGAGAACCUUGGUUUUUAUGAGCAUCCUUGAAGUAGUGCUGCUACACUGCAAUGUGUGAAGUUCUACAACGACCUUACUUAGAAUGGUCAGGUGUUUGGAAGACGCGAGACCUCUGCUAGUCUCCGUGGAAAUAACUGUCGCACAGUCACACCAGCCUGAACAGUGAAGGCAAUCCUGUCUGGUAAGAGGAGGGGUUAUGCAGGCGGGAUUACGCCCUAACCAUGCUCUCAGUUCCCACGACUUCCACUUGUCCCGGUGAUUUGGGCACCUAAGGCGAUGGAAGAGAAGCUAAACGUGUACUGGUCAUUGUCAGCAUACCCCAGUUUUCCACCCAUGUUAAUAAUUGCUGAGUAACUUGUUCACUUUGUUUGUUUUGAUGCUAUGGUGAAGUGUGUGUACGUACCGGCUGUUAACAUCUGCAACACGAUGACUUUCGAGGAAACAGAUAAGAUCGCAAUUUGGGAGGAAAUGACCCAUAAACUGUACCAGCAGAUCUGUGGCCUGCCCAAUCAACUAUGGAAAGUGAGACUCACCCGCUGCAUCCAGCAAGGGCCAAGCGAACAGGUUUGGGGGAAUCAAGAGCUCUGUUUAUAUUCAUUCAUUUAUCCCAACUACAAAAGGUUCUAAAGAAAAGGGAAUCUACAAGAGAAUAAGGACCUUUGAGGCUACCACCUACAAAGGUGAAAUAACAACAAAGCCAGGACAGGGAAGUUCAGCUGAGACAACAAGGGAAGGAGGGGGCUUUGGAGUUCAGCGGGGAGCCUUUCUGUAGCGCCUGGCAGCCCUGACAGCAUGCCUUCAAGACCAGGGCCCUAUCUUGAACCCCAGGAACAAGAAGCAUUAGUCUCUAAGGCCAUCAGAAGUUCAUACCCACAAAGAACUAUCCUCUUUACAAGCCCAUGACAUGUAGCUCUAAGUGAAUGCAGGCUACUCUAGAGCUAUCUAAUAGAUCACAGAUGUGGUCAACUUGUCCCUCCGCCUAAUGCUGGUACAGAUUAAUCUAAAAUCACUGAUCAGGCAGAAAACUAGGUGAACACAACACACCAGCAGGUCCUCUUUUCCUCACUAGAGGGCACUGUGUGAAGGUUUCCCUGUAGGCACUAGCCGACUCCCCAGCCCAAUUCCUGCUUUCGGCAAAAGUACUGAACAUGCCAUGUUAUUUCCCCACCUCCGUUACACAGUCCAGUCUCAAGAAUCUAAAAUAUCUUAGGACAAAAAUGUUAGGGCCAAAAGUUUGUUUUUAGCUUAAGACACAUACAAUUUAAAAAAAAAAAUUAAAAAUUAACUUUUUUCUUUUGUAAGAUUAAAUUGAAAUAUCAAACAUCAAAAUGACU